AGCAUGCUCGGGUUCUCCAGCCCAGCUAGUGGAAGGCGGUGGGACCCUGGAUGACUCCGUUCUUUUCUCAAUACUCGAAUAUAUUUCUAUAACUUUCAACUGGUCUCAUGGAGAUUAUGGGGACACACUUUUUGGAGCUGAUGAUAUCCUACAUUUUAUGUACUUCUUUCUGGAAUGCUCAUCAUCUUGGCAUUACCUUCAACUACCGAACUCCAAGCCAACUUCCACCACUCUCAUCUCACCACCAGAUACUUACACUUCCAACAAGCAUUGCAGGGGCAACAGGCAUUUGUUAAAAGGCCUUUACUGGACUCCGAGGUGGUGUGACACCAACACAGCUGAGGCAACAUGCAAGUGGCUGAAGACUCGGGAAAGUUCCAGUAGAGACAACAGAAAUCCCCUCCUCUCUACACAGAAGCUUACAAGAAGGAAAUCCAAGAACUACAGAAUUUAUGCUGAGGCAGCAGAGCAAAACUGAUGAUACUGGAGAGCGCGGGCUCUGGUCUUUGUGUGUGUUCAAACCUGCCCUGGCCACUUACUUGCGGUUGGGAUCCCAGAUAAGACAAUGUACCUCUGGCACAAUGUCUUCAUUUGCAUAUCAGGGCUGUUAUUUCACCCCAGGCAGCUUCGGCAAGGAUGAAAUGAAAUGCUGCACAUGCCGUGUUUGGGGAAGUGGUUGGCACACAGGAUGAUUCCACACUGGCACUGGUAGCAUUAUUAUGCUCGGAAGAUUGCAAACAUAUUGAUGCCACCUUAAAGCAUAGGCCUUGGAUUCAAGGACAGCUGCCAAUGCCCGGCAACGACAAAUGCGUCAGAGUCUGACCCCUUUUAGGGGGUGGAAUGGUUGGAUCCAAGAGCUGCCUGGACGCCUGGGACACUCAAGGCAAACGCUCAGGUGCUCGGAAUGCCUGAGCCCUUCUGAGGUCACAGGAAACAGGUGGGAUCUGAAGGCAGGCCGAGCCGAGCAGCCAAGCCUUGCUCUCACCAGCAGGAUCUACCAAGCACAGACUUGUGCUAGGCACCGAGCUUGCCACUGGAGACAGGAAAGAAAUGGCAGACAAGGCCGCAGCUCUCUACUGGGAAAGAGAAAACAAACAAGUACCUGCUGUGUGCAGAGAUAACUGGGUAGUUCUGGAGCUGGGUGCUGCAGAGAAAAUACCACAGGAUGGUGGGAGAGAGUGAGUGAAUGGAGAAAGGCAAGUUCUCAAGGACCGUUUCCACUCACGCUCUGCUCUCACAGAUGCAACGCAGGAAUUAAUUCUGGGUAAAUAAGUUCCCAAAAUUCUCUGUGGCAAACCUGGGGGAGUUUAAUUUAGCAAAGGCAUUUUAAACUUACUGCAAAAGGCAAGGCCUGCCUUCUAAACAUGUGUAUGGAGUAACUA